CUAUAUCCCAUCCUACUACUAUAAAUACAUUUGAAAUCCUCCAAAACUAAUUCUCAUCCCAUCUCCAAAUACAUUUUAUAUAUCAUUCUAAAUCUACAAGAAAAAGAAAAUGAAUUCUAAGGCUUUCAUCCUCCUCGGUCUCCUUUUCGCAGCUGUCAUCCUAGAGGUAACCGCAGUUACGGCCACGAACGACAUAAAAUCUAAUGAAGCUUUUAAGCAAACAGAUGAAAUCAAUGAUGUCAAGCACCACGAUUUGGGAGGAGAAGAUGCUUCACUUGCCCAAUGCCACCACCAUUGCCACAAAGGUUGCUGCAAGUGUUCCCAUGGUCAUUGCGUCAAGUGCUGCCACUAAUCUGCUGAUGAUCAGGCCCUGGUUGAUGUACAAUCUCAAGCCAAAAGUUUAACAACAAAUCCUACUUUGUUGCUUUGUUUUUUGAUUUCUCAAGUUCAUAUAUUAUAUAAUAAUGUCUGCAGUCCAGUGUGUUUGCUUUUAAGUACUGAAUAAAUGCUUUGUUAUGAAAAAAAAAAAGUAAUGAAUAAAUGGAAUGGCUUGAGAUUGACUGUGUUUA